UCAAACAAUAUUUGAGUGUGCG
rnacentral:siRNA from 1 species